rnacentral:rRNA from 1 species
AGAAUCAACGCUGGCGGCGUGCCUAACACAUGCAAGUCGCACGAGAAAGUGGAGCAAUCCACGAGUAAAGUGGCGCACGGGUGAGUAACACGUGAAUAAUCUACCUCCGAGUGGGGAAUAACUGAGAGAAAUCUCAGCUAAUACCGCAUAAUACCCACGGGUCAAAGCAGCAAUGCGCUUGGAGAGGAGUUCGCGGCCGAUUAGCUAGUUGGCGGGGUAAUGGCCCACCAAGGCGAUGAUCGGUA